rnacentral:rRNA from 1 species
ACGGUAACAGGUUAAGCUGACGAGUGGCGAACGGGUGAGUAAUGUAUCGGAACGUGCCCAGUCGUGGGGGAUAACUGCUCGAAAGAGCAGCUAAUACCGCAUACGACCUGAGGGUGAAAGCGGGGGAUCGCAAGACCUCGCGCGAUUGGAGCGGCCGAUAUCAGAUUAGGUAGUUGGUGAGGUAAAGGCUCACCAAGCCGACGAUCUGUAGCUGGUCUGAGAGGACGACCAGCCACACUGGGACUGAGACACGGCCCAGACUCCUACGGGAGGCAGCAGUGGGGAAUUUUGGACGAUGGGCGCAAGCCUGAUCCAGCCAUGCCGCGUGCGGGAAGAAGGCCUUCGGGUUGUAAACCGCUUUUGUCAGGGAAGAAAAGGUUCUGGCUAAUACCUGGGACUCAUGACGGUACCUGAAGAAUAAGCACCGGCUAACUACGUGCCAGCAGCCGCGGUAAUACGUAGGGUGCAAGCGUUAAUCGGAAUUACUGGGCGUAAAGCGUGCGCAGGCGGUUAUGCAAGACAGAGGUGAAAUCCCCGGGCUCAACCUGGGAACUGCCUUUGUGACUGCAUGGCUAGAGUACGGUAGAGGGGGAUGGAAUUCCGCGUGUA